rnacentral:rRNA from 1 species
ACUUGACGGGCCCCCUGAGUGACUGACGCGCCUCUGGUCGGAAAGCUCUGUCGCCGGGGAAGAUAAUGACUGUACCCGGUAAAGAAGUCCCGGCUAACUCCGUGCCAGCAGCCGCGGUAAUACGGAGGGGACUAGCGUUGUUCGGAAUUACUGGGCGUAAAGCGCGCGUAGGCGGAUAUUUAAGUCAGGGGUGAAAUCCCGGGGCUCAACCCCGGAACUGCCCUUGAUACUGGGUAUCUUGAGUUCGAGAGAGGUGAGUGGAAUUCCGAGUGUAGAGGUGAAAUUCGUAGAUAUUCGGAGGAACACCAGUGGCGAAGGCGGCUCACUGGCUCGAUACUGACGCUGAGGUGCGAAAGUGUGGGGAGCAAACAGGAUUAGAUACCCUGGUAGUCCACACCGUAAACGAUGAAUGCCAGACGUCGGGCAGUAUACUGUUCGGUGUCACACCUAACGGAUUAAGCAUUCCGCCUGGGGAGUACGGUCGCAAGAUUAAAACUCAAAGGAAUUGA